CGCGUAGGCGGUUUGUUAAGUCAGAUGUGAAAGCCCCGGGCUCAACCUGGGAAUUGCAUUUGAAACUGGCAGGCUAGAAUGCAGUAGAGGGAGGUGGAAUUUCCGGUGUAGCGGUGAAAUGCGUAGAGAUCGGAAGGAACACCAGUGGCGAAGGCGGCCUCCUGGACUGACAUUGACGCUGAGGUGCGAAAGCGUGGGGAGCAAACA
rnacentral:rRNA from 1 species